UACGUAGGGUGCAAGCGUUAUCCGGAAUUAUUGGGCGUAAAGAGCUCGUAGGCGGUUUGUCGCGUCUGCUGUGAAAACUGGAGGCUCAACCUCCAGCCUGCAGUGGGUACGGGCAAACUAGAGUGCGGUAGGGGAGAUUGGAAUUCCUGGUGUAGCGGUGGAAUGCGCAGAUAUCAGGAGGAACACCUGUGGCGAAGGCAGGUCACUGGGCCGCAACUGACGCUGAGGAGCGAAAGCAUGGGGAGCGAACAGG
rnacentral:rRNA from 1 species